AACGAACGCUGGCGGCAGGCCUAACACAUGCAAGUCGAGCGAUCCUCUUCGGAGGGUAGCGGCGGACGGGUGAGUAACGCGUGGGAACGUGCCCUGGGGUAAGGAACAACCGCUGGAAACGGCGGCUAAUACCUUAUGAUGUCUGUCAUGGAGACAUGGCGGACCAAAGAUUUAUCGCCCUUGGAUCGGCCCGCGUUGGAUUAGGUAGUUGGUGGGGUAAUGGCCUACCAAGCCGACGAUCCAUAGCUGGUUUGAGAGGAUGACCAGCCACACUGGGACUGAGACACGGCCCAGACUCCUACGGGAGGCUG
rnacentral:rRNA from 1 species